AGGUAUCCCCACUUCUCGGCAUGUGUGUCUCAAGUGUUAGGACUGCUGCAUUGGAAAGACCCAGACCCUGCAGCCAAGUCAGCUGUCCACCUCUGCAUGGCCAGUCGAGCCAGCGCCGAAAUUUGAGGCAGAGCUCGGAGCAGAGCGGGCAGCCAGGCUGAGCACGGAGCAGAGGUUGAAGGUCGCAAACUGACAUCCACGUCUUCCAGAGAGCCCAGACCUCCUGCUGCAAACAGACUGCACCAACCGUUGUCUCCCACCAAGCUGUUGUAGGACAGAUCCAGUGCACGGAGUGAGGAGAGACAGCCCCGUCUGCACACGGCAGCUGCACAGAGGAAGAGGACCCAUUGAUAACUGAUCACUUUAUGCCUGUUCACUUUACUGUUUUGUUCACAAUGUUUCUGAUGGAGACAAAAAUAACACCGAAUAGUUUCAUUGUUUUGUUUUAUACGACAGCUACAGAUGCUGGCAGCAUGAAAUAAAUGAAAGAAAUAUCAAUUUC